rnacentral:lncRNA from 1 species
CCCUCCUGGCGUACAGUUUUCAGAGAACCUCGCUCUAACGCCGCAAAGCACUAUCUGGUUAUCAAUGGCGAAUUUUUACAGAGCAUUUCUCUUAUCAAAUCUGCCAAGCAUAUAUGCUUCACACUUGCUUAAGCUGAAAUAAUUACCCAGAGAGAACUCAUAAAUUUUCAUUAAGAGUCCAAGAAAAGGGAAUCAUGGGGCAAAGAAAAUGCCAUGGAUAGAAGAGUUCGAGAAAUAUAAUAUUAACAAAGGAUAAAACUUACAUCACAACGCUAGAAGGUUUCCCUUCCGGGACUUCCCGGGGGGAAAGAAAGGACUUGUUUGUACAGACUCCUUACUCCACGGGAUAAAUAUAAUAUUAACAAGGGAUAGUUCGAGAAAUAUAAUAUUAACAAAGGAUAAAACUUACAUCACGACGCUAGAAGGUUUCCCUUCCGGGACUUCCCGGGGGGAAAGAAAGGACUUGUUUGUACAGACUCCUUAUUCCAGGAUGCAGUUGAUGGAAAAAAUAUUUACAGGAAGAACAGGAAAAUAAAAGCCAUUGGAAAUAUUUGUGGAGCUAGGAUGCUAUAUCUAAUAGGAUACUUGCUUCAUUCUUACUUGUCGUCAAAAAGAUCUUUCUUUAAGCUUCAGUGUUUUUUCAUAGAAAGC